AGGGCACUACCAGGAGUGGAUCCUGCGGCUCAAUUUGACUCAACACGGGAAAGCUCACCUGGUCCGGACACUGGAAGGAUUGACAGAUUAAGAGCUCUUUCUUGAUUCAGUGGGUGGUGGUGCAUGGCCGUUCUUAGUUGGUGGAGCGAUUUGUCUGGUUAAUUCCAAUAACGAACGAGACUCUAGCCUACUAAAUAGGUGUUCCGAUCCCAUCAGUCGGACGCUCUUCUUAGAGGGACAAGCGGCGUUUAGCCGCACGAGACAGAGCAAUAACAGGUCUGUGAUGCCCUUAGAUGUCCGGGGCCGCACGCGCGCUACACUGAAGGAACCAGCGUGUGUCCCUGUCCGGCAGGACUGGGUAAUCCGUUGAACCUCCUUCGUGAUAGGGAUAGGGGCUUGUAAUUGUUCCCCUUGAACGAGGAAUUCCCAGUAAGCGUGAAUCAUCAGUUCACGUUGAUUACGUCCCUGGCCUUUGUACACACCGCCCGUCGCUACUGCUGAUUGGAUGAUUUAGUGAGG
rnacentral:rRNA from 1 species